UUUUUGGCCGACUUGCCCAGUUGAGUAAAUAAUUAAUAUGACAUCAAAUAUGAAGAAAUAUUACUAGAAAUGAAAAUUGAAAUGAGUAGUGGAAGAAAAGAAAAGAAAAUGCAAAAAUAAGGCAAAAAUGACAUCAUUUAAAAAGUUGGACCAAUCACACUUAAGCCAUUGUUUGACUAACCAUUAAAAGAGAUAAGAGAAGACCAAAUUCAACAAAAUUUCAGCAGCCAUCCUUCUCUCCUUAGUGCAGCCAAAACGUGAACCUCUCUCUCUCUCUCAAACUCCAUUAAACCUCACUUCUCAAGCUUAAUUUCUCCCUUGUUUCACCACAAAACCCUAACCUCUCUUCAUUAAAAUUUUACUCCACAUCUUAAACAACCUUUUGGCAGCCUUGAAAGUGAAGGAAAGUGAAGUUUAGAGGUGGGAAAAAUCUGCCCUAAGUGAGGUACUGGAGAUCCCAAUCGUGAGCCCAGUAGACCACAGACUGGGUGAGUCCAUCUGACAGUUCUGCUCAGUGUCUGUGUCACCUCACUACCUGCAGUGCAUCGGUAGGGCACUAGGUGUCAGUUUGUCAUUUUGAUAUUUUGUAGUAGAUUUGUAUUUUCUCAUAUGUAUUUGAUCUCAUGUAAUAUAUUUUGAUGUAUAUGUAAAUUAUGAAAAUUGUAUUUGUUAAUGGAAAAGUAGAUGUUUACUUGUGAUUUA